rnacentral:rRNA from 1 species
UUUUGCCUACGGGGGGCAGCAGUGAGGAAUAUUGGUCAAUGGUCGGGAGACUGAACCAGCCAAGCCGCGUGAGGGAGGAAGGUACAGAGUAUCGUAAACCUCUUUUGUCAGGGAACAAAGGCGGGGACGUGUCCCCGGAUGAGUGUACCUGAAGAAAAAGCAUCGGCUAACUCCGUGCCCGCAGCCGCGGUAAUACGGAGGAUGCGAGCGUUAUCCGGAUUUAUUGGGCUUAAAGGGGGCGCAGGCGGUCUGUUAAGUCAGCGGUCAAAGCCCGGGGC